GGGGGAAUAUUGGACAAUGGGCGAAAGCCUGAUCCAGCAAUGCCGCGUGAGUGAAGAAGGCCUUCGGGUUGUAAAGCUCUUUUACCCGGGAAGAUAAUGACUGUACCGGGAGAAUAAGCCCCGGCUAACUCCGUGCCAGCAGCCGCGGUAAUACGGAGGGGGCUAGCGUUGUUCGGAAUUACUGGGCGUAAAGCGUACGUAGGCGGCUUUUUAAGUCAGAGGUGAAAUCCCACGACUCAAUCGUGGAACU
rnacentral:rRNA from 1 species